CUUGAAAUAAGGCUAAAUGAGGAACAGCAGUCCUAAAAUCUUAUAUAAGAGAGGCUGGUCAGAGGGUUUGGUCUUCCUAUUAAAGUGAGAUAGCAGUGCUUUAAAAGUGUAAUGUAGUCUUUUUCUUGCUCAAUUUCUGCAGUGCUGAGCAUGCAGAAAAGAGAAUGCGUUCUUCUGAGGAGCCUGGGAAGUGCUUUUAAGUGUCUUUCUAACGUAUCUGGAAAAGCCUGAAAACAUUUUAUUUACCAAGGACUAAAACUGCUUCUGAGCCUACAAGUGGUAUAUGCUUAUUCUGAACACGAGGCAUGAGCUCUUGGUCAGACUUCUAGAUCUGAGGUGCACUCCAGCAGUUACAAGUCCAGCAUCCCAAACUGCCCUGAAGUAGGUGCUUUGCCUCUUCUCACUCAGCAUCAGUUGCUUGCGUCUUGUGGAAGAUGCUGCCUGGGGCCCAGCAGAGCUGGAGGUAGUGGAAGCUUAACGCAGAGGGCCAUGGGGUUUGUGCCCUCUUUCACCAGACUCAGGCUGAUGGAUGGAGCACAGGCACAAUCAUGCGCACAGUAAAAAACUUUGCCUUGGGAAGUCACAGAGUAAUAAUAAGAUCAGCCACUGAUCAUGACUGUGUAGAAAGAUUUCGGAAAUGUCCAAUUUGCACUCCUAAAGUACUGGUGGCAUCUGCGAGCAGCCAUCCUCGAGGGGACACUUCAUGUCUAAAGAUUCCAUGUUGUGGCUACUGUUCUGCUGGGCUUGUGGAGAUGCUGUAUGUCCACCGUGAAGUGUGAAACUGUCAGCCUUGGACACUGAACUUCCUUCUCAUUUCUCCAAAGCAGCACUAAGGUGUUGAACAAAGCAUGGCAGAGCCAUAUGAGGACAGCUGUGAUGCUGCUGUGGCACUGUCUUUUCUGUUUUACAUAGCUGUUG
rnacentral:lncRNA from 1 species